UACGUAGGGUGCAAGCGUUAAUCGGAAUUACUGGGCGUAAAGCGUGCGCAGGCGGUUUUGUAAGUCUGAUGUGAAAUCCCCGGGCUCAACCUGGGAAUUGCGAUGGAGACUGCAAGGCUCGAAUCUGGCAGAGGGGGGUAGAAUUCCACGUGUAGCAGUGAAAUGCGUAGAGAUGUGGAGGAACACCGAUGGCGAAGGCAGCCCCCUGGGUCAAGAUUGACGCUCAUGCACGAAAGCGUGGGGAGCAAACAGG
rnacentral:rRNA from 1 species